CCCGGGCCUUGUACACACCGCCCGUCACACCACGAGAGUUUGUAACACCCGAAGUCGGUGGGGUAACCGCAAGGAGCCAGCCGCCUAAGGUGGGACAGAUGGAUUGGGGUG
rnacentral:rRNA from 1 species